GACGAACGCUGGCGGCGUGCUUAACACAUGCAAGUCGAACGGAAAGGCCCUGCUUUUGUGGGGUGCUCGAGUGGCGAACGGGUGAGUAACACGUGAGUAACCUGCCCUUGACUUUGGGAUAACUUCAGGAAACUGGGGCUAAUACCGGAUAGGAGCUCCUGCUGCAUGGUGGGGGUUGGAAAGUUUCGGCGGUUGGGGAUGGACUCGCGGCUUAUCAGCUUGUUGGUGGGGUAGUGGCUUACCAAGGCUUUGACGGGUAGCCGGCCUGAGAGGGUGACCGGCCACAGUGGGACUGAGAUACGGCCCAGACUCAUACGGGAGGCAGCAGUGGGGAAUAUUGCACAAUGGGCGGAAGCCGGAUGCAGCAACGCCGCGUGCGGGAUGACGGCCUUCGGGUUGUAAACCGCUUUCGCCUGUGACGAAGCGUGAGUGACGGUAAUGGGGAAAGAAGCACCGGCUAACUACGU
rnacentral:rRNA from 1 species